CUAGCUUGCACAAUCCAUACAGUCUAAGUAAGAGAUCACCUUGUAGUUGUUGAUUAUCCAGAAGAGGAGUUCUGCAAUCUAAUAUCUUUCUAACUACCCAAGAUGCUGCCUUGGGAAUAGGCAUUGUAGCAAUGUCAUGGUUCUUAAUGUAAUAGUAGUGUAUCCAUUUGAUCCACAAACAAUCUUUCUUCCUAGCCAAGUCCCAAAGGAGCUUAGUGAUAGCUGCCUUAUUCCAUAUAUACAUGU
rnacentral:lncRNA from 1 species